rnacentral:lncRNA from 1 species
ACACAAAAAUUAAGAUAUGUGUCCAGAGCCCCACAAUAGGGGAUGUUCGGUAAGCUACUAUUGAAGAGUUAGACAACAUCAAAACAUGGUUUUCAGAUAUACUCCCCUUCUCUCUUCUCUUUCUUUUUCUCCACCCAUUUUUCUUUAUUCUUACAUUCUCUCUUAUUCCACUGCAUUUCUGAUUGCUCAUUUCCACUUUAGCCACUUGAAAGGAAAAGGGAGAAAACGUCAAAGAAGGUUCUUUGUUUUUCUGUGAGUGCUUCACUUUCUUUGAUGCUUCCUUUGGGGUUUUAUUGACUUUUUAAAAAAUUGUUUUGAUGUAACUUCAAACUUGUAGAAGAGUUGCAAUAUCUGUGCAAAGAAGGAGAAAAUAUACCUCAUUCAGAUGACACAUUUAUUUCCAUUUUCUCUCAUGUGCUUUAUCUUUCUUUAGAACUCUUUGUCUUCUCUCCACCUAUUGUUCGCCAAACAUCAAAUUGAUGCUGUCAGCUGUCCUGGCUUUACAGACUGCUGUACCAACAACUUGUUUCUCCAAUUCCUCUCCUCUAUAUUCUCAUAUAUGAUCAAAGUUUUAGUUUCCUUUUCUAAUUACAAUUUUCUUCCUGUCUGUUCACAGCAGAGUCCUUUCAGCCACAAGUCUUAAUAGUUUGUGUGAGUGUUAAUCUGCUUCUCAUAGAGUCACCAUGAAACACACCUUAGACAGAAUAAUACAAAGCUUUAACGAAGACCGCAGAAGAACUUCAUAUCUGAGUACCAUUUGCAAUCGAUUUACAAAUAAUGCCAGCAUCCUUAGCGACUUCUUCAGGCAAGGUUAUACUGGGGGUUUUUGAGGCUAAGCAGGUGAACUGGGAGUACCGCACACAGCAUGGCUUCCAGCCUGAAGUGACUGUAAAAUGCCAGUGAAUAGAGAGGCUCAAGGCUGAGUAAAGGAUCCUGCACACUCAACAGGCUCAUCCUUCUCUGCACCCGAGUUGUUCAUAGAGUCCCAGUUACAGAGCUUUCAGAAGGCGGAAUUCGUCCACAGCACACUAUUGAUGCCUAUCGAAUCUAAGGAAAUUAACUAAGAAGGGAAGAAAUAAUCUUCAUAGAAAAGGGAUUUGAGAACCCAGAAGAGGGUAUGGGCCUGGCAGUGUGCAUGCUGCAAACUAUGCACCAUCACUGGCCUAAAACGCACCUCUGUGUGCAUCAUUUACUCACGUUUAAAAAUCACCCUCUACUUGUUCUCCUGUGACCCUCAUUGGACUAUAUCCAGACAGCACUGAAAGUGAUAGCCAGAAAAAGUAGAAACAACCCAUGUGUUCAUCCACUGACGAAUGGAUCAAAACAUGUGGCGUGUCCAUCCAUACAAGGGGAUAUUACCCAGCAGUCAAAAGGAGCAAAGAACUGAUGUAUACCACACCAUGGCUGAUUCUCAACAGUAUGUUCAGUGAAAGAAACCAGUCACAAAAGCACAUGUACUGUAUGUCUAUUUAUAUGAACUGCUUGGAGGAGGCACCUAGUGGUUGCCAGGGGCUUGGGGUGGGGGUGGAGGGCAGGAAUGGGGAAUGCCUGCCCCCUCCAUGGGGUUUCUUUGUGGGGUGAUUAAAAUGUUCUAAAAUUGGUAUGGUGAUGGUUGCAUGAGUCUGUGAAUACACUAAAACCACUGAGUGGUACAC